rnacentral:lncRNA from 1 species
CGCAUAUAAAAUAAUUUAAAUUUAUAUGAAAUGAUCAACCAAUUUUUUCAAUUUAAAAAAAUAAAUACCUAAUACCUAGAUUGGUUAACCUUAUAAUAACCCUAAUCUCUUACUUUCUAUUUGAAUUUUUUCUAAAGAAAAUUGAAAGUAAAGAUUGUCCAAAAAAUUCCACCGUAAGACUUCAAUUACAUAGUAAAAUGGGUGCUUUUAGUUCUCAUUUUAAAACUUUUCGUCACCCAAAACUUACGGCACGUUUGGUUCACUGGAAUGGAAUAUGAUUGUAAGGGAAUAAAGUUGUAAUCAAUAAUUCAAUUGAUUAGUUGAAUAGAAUAGAAUAGAACUGUAAUAGUAUUCUUGUGUUUGGUUGAAUGAAAUAGAUUUAUAAUAAUAUAAGGAAAAAAGCUAAAAUGACCAAAGUACCGUUAGCAGAAUUUUUU